AGCGGCGGACGGGUGAGUAACACGUAGGUAACCUGCCUUUAAGACUGGGAUAACAAUCGGAAACGAUAGCUAAGACCGGAUACCUGGUUUUCUCGCAUGGGAGAAUCAAUAAACAYGGAGCAAUCUGUCGGCUUGAAGAUGGGCCUGCGGCGCAUUAGCUAGUUGGUGAGGUAACGGCUCACCAAGGCGACGAUGCGUAGCCGACCUGAGAGGGUGAUCGGCCACACUGGGACUGAGACACGGCCCAGACUCCUACGGGAGGCAGCAGUAGGGAAUCUUCCGCAAUGGACGCAAGUCUGACGGAGCAACGCCGCGUGAGUGAUGAAGGUUUUCGGAUCGUAAAGCUCUGUUGCC
rnacentral:rRNA from 1 species